UACGAAGGGGGCUAGCGUUGCUCGGAAUCACUGGGCGUAAAGGGUGCGUAGGCGGGUUUUUAAGUCAGGGGUGAAAUCCUGGAGCUCAACUCCAGAACUGCCUUCGAUACUGGAAGACUUGAGUCCGGGAGAGGUGAGUGGAACUGCGAGUGUAGAGGUGAAAUUCGUAGAUAUUCGCAAGAACACCAGUGGCGAAGGCGGCUCACUGGCCCGGUACUGACGCUGAGGUGCGAAAGCGUGGGGAGCAAACAGG
rnacentral:rRNA from 1 species